CAGCCCGGUGACAAGAAGGGCCUAGGGCACACGGAAUCAUCCAGAGUCCUGCAUUUUGUCACCAGAGCCUCAGGAAAGCCUCUUCGCCUCAAGGAAAGGAAUUCCUGGGCCUGGGUUAUGGAUGCAGAUCUCAAAGACUGAUCUCGUCCCAGCUUGGAAAACAUGGCAGAGUUAUGAAAAGCAUUCCAGUGUCUGGGAGCCAACAAAGGAACCAAAUAUACACAUGGUGGAUAACAUGGAUGGCAUGGUGGAUGACAGAAGCCUUGGAACGACGGACGCUUUAAGAUCUGGGAAGCAAGAACAUGCUGAACAAGGACCCUGCGCUGAGUGAUUGCUGACCUCUUUAGGAAAGGCAUCAAGUAUUAAUGCCUUUCUCAACUCUCACCAGAGAAGCGUCUUCUUGUAGCAGAUGGUGAUUUACACAGAGACCCAGAACUGGUCAACGUGUAGAGAAUAACGGGCAGGCAGCAGAGUGCUCAGCUGUAAAUGAAAUUCUUUCCUGGUUCCUUCACUUUAGCUUUUCCUACAUCUCUUUCCUCUUCAUGAAUCCCUGUCAUUAUCAAAGAAUAGUGCUGACGAUCUGUAGAUGCUUCCCCCUUGCUUACCAAACUUCAAUGGCUCCCCAAUAAUGUGCAGACUCUAUGGCAUGGUCUAUAAAGAAGAUAAAAGCAGGGGCUGGAGCGAUGGCUCAGUGGUUAAGAGCAAUUAUUACUGUUCUUGCAGAGGACCAGAGUUCAGUUCCUAACACCUGCAACCUCCUGUGACUCCAGUCAUAGGGAAUCCAAUGCCAUCUUCAGACCUCCACAGGCACGCACACACACGGCACACACACACAGCACACACAUACAUAUACACAGACACACAUAUAAAUAAAAAUAAAUCUUAUUUCAAAAGGCUCUGAAUGGCCUGGAGAGAUUGUUGGGGACCCCUGCUGUUUGGGUCGCAGUCUCUCCAUGUCCAGAUAGCCUAAGGGGCUUGGCGUUUUU